rnacentral:rRNA from 1 species
AUAUCAAUAAGCGGAGGAAAAGAAACUAACAAGGAUUCCCCUAGUAACUGCGAGUGAAGCGGGAAAAGCUCAAAUUUAAAAUCUGGCGGUCUUCGGCCGUCCGAGUUGUAGUCUGGAGAAGCGUCUUCCGCGUCGGACCGUGUACAAGUCUCUUGGAACAGAGCGUCAUAGAGGGUGAGAAUCCCGUCUUUGACACGGACUACCGAUGCUUUGUGAUGCGCUCUCAAAGAGUCGAGUUGUUUGGGAAUGCAGCUCAAAAUGGGUGGUAAAUUCCAUCUAAAGCUAAAUAUUGGCGAGAGACCGAUAGCGAACAAGUACCGUGAGGGAAAGAUGAAAAGCACUUUGGAAAGAGAGUUAAACAGUACGUGAAAUUGCUGAAAGGGAAACGAUUGAAGUCAGUCGCGUCGUUCAGAACUCAACCUUGCCUUCGGGCUCGGUGCACUUUCUGUUUGACGGGCCAGCAUCAGUUUUGACUGUCGGAAAAAGGUCUUCGGAAUGUGGCACCUCCGGGUGUGUUAUAGCCGUUGGUCGUAUACGACGGUUGGGACUGAGGACCGCAGCACGCCUUUUGGCCGGGGUUCGCCCACGUACGUGCUUAGGAUGCUGGCGUAAUGGCUUUAAACGACCCGUCUUGAAACACGGACCAAGGAGUCUAACAUGCAUGCGAGUGUUUGGGUGGAAAACCCGAGCGCGUAAUGAAAGUGAAAGUUGGGAUCCCUGUCGUGGGGAGCACCGACGCCCAUACCAGACCUUCUGUGACGGAUAUGCGGUAGAGCAUGUAUGUUGGGACCCGAAAGAUGGUGAACUAUGCCUGAAUAGGGUGAAGCCAGAGGAAACUCUGGUGGAGGCUCGUAGCGAUUCUGACGUGCAAAUCGAUCGUCAAAUUUGGGUAUAGGGGCGAAAGACUAAUCGAACCAUCUAGUAGCUGG